GUGCUCACCUCAGCAGCACAUAUACUAAAAUUGGAAUGAUACACAGAAAAUUAUCACGACCCCUGUGUAAGAAUGGCAGUCAAAUAUGUGAACUGUUUUCCAUUAAU
ensembl:snRNA U6 U6 spliceosomal RNA